rnacentral:rRNA from 1 species
UACGUAGGGCGCGAGCGUUGUCCGGAAUCAUUGGGCGUAAAGAGCUCGUAGGCGGCCGGUUGCGUCUGCUGUGAAAUCCCGGGGCUUAACCCCGGGCGUGCAGUGGAUACGGGCUGGCUGGAGGCAGGCAGGGGAGAAUGGAAUUCCCGGUGUAGCGGUGGAAUGCGUAGAGAUCCGGAAGAACACCGGUGGCGAAGGCGGCCUGCUGGGCAGUUAGCUGACACUGAGGCGCGACAGCGUGGGGAGCAAACAGG